CAAACGAGGAUCCAUUCAUCGGAAUUUAUUCUAGGAUUCAAUUAGUCGACCUAUCUUUGCCUCCGUGGUGUUAAUCUGCGAGGAAGCUGUAUUUUAGGGAAUCUUUUACAGCGUGUCACAAACAAAAUGUACACUUUUAAACGUAUGGUGUCCUGUUCCAGUCGAAUACUCUGAACCCAGUUAUUUCCACUGAUGUGACCGUCUCAAACUUUGUCUCUAUUUUCCUUUUUUUUUAAAUUUGGGUAAAACAAAUAUUGUUUUUAAUCAGAGUUCCCGAAUUGCUCACACCCAAAGGAAAACCCGCUUGUUGGUUACAAAUGAGCAAAACACCAUUUACAGAAUUAUGGUUCUUUUCUUUUGCACUCUCAAUUUCCCCCCCCGAGCAGACGUGAGCGAGAAGUACAGACCCGUGCCACCUUUUAUUAAAUGCACUUGCUUCUCCUCAGUCGGGAUGGACGUGUAAUCCGAGGUGCCUGUUGGAACUUGACUUGCCUGUAGAUAGUCUUAUUUUGGCACAGGAAACCUUCCUGGGAUUCGUUGUAUAAAAAAAAAAAAAAAAAGCUUCUGCUGAGUUCUUUGUGCAACUUGUCUGUUUGUGCCUUUUUGGAUAGUCUUGAUAUCCAAGAUUUGAUGUGCAGCUUUUGUUCAGUCGGGGAUGCGUUUGUAAUCCCAGUAAAUUUCUAGAUCAACACAAAUGGGGGGUGGGGGGGGGGGGGUCCUUUCAGUUAUGUACAUUUUAAAGAGAUUUGUUUCCACAGCUGUGACUUGUGACUGUAUUGAAAAGAUGAAAAGCAAACAUUUAUAUAUUUUUUGUGUUGCCCUUUAUUUUUCUUUUUUUCGGGGGGUAUUUUUAUUGUAAAAUGAAUGUUCUGUUUCUAUCGGACACUAAUGUUGUUUGGGUUGUCCCCCAGUGGAACUACUCCACUCUGUUUUGAUCAGUAUAAACCUUUUUGAUUGUGUAGUUCACAUUUCUGAAAGAUGGAAGAAAAGGUUUGACCCGCCAGACGUUGAUGGAAUUGAUCGGUCACUUUUAUGUUGCUGUCGUGUGAAGGAUUUGACUCAAACGAAGCAUUUCUUUGCUCUUAUUAAAGACUGACUGCCACUUUGACAAAACUGGUUUUACAUGUUUGGGUUUUC
ensembl:lncRNA